rnacentral:rRNA from 1 species
AUCAUGGAGAGUUUGAUCCUGGCUCAGAACGAACGCUGGCGGCGCGUCUUAAGCAUGCAAGUCGAACGGCAAGUUACCUUCGGGUAACCUAGAGUGGCGGACUGGUGAGUAACACGUAGGUGACGUACCCCCCGGACGGGGAUAGCUCCUAGAAAUAGGAGAUAAUACCGGAUAAGGUUGCACGGGCUGGAACCGUGUAAGGAAAGGUGCUUCGGCACCGCCGGGGGAGCGGCCUGCGGCCCAUCAGCUGGUAGGUGAGGUAAAGGCCCACCUAGGCAAUGACGGGUAUCCGGCCUGAGAGGGUG